rnacentral:lncRNA from 1 species
AUGGGCGCCCGCCCACCGGAGGAGCGACUGGAGUUGAUCGGCUGGGCGCUCAGAACCUGGACAACUACCCUCAAUUGGUAACAUAUUUUGGUGAGCCAGCCAGAAGGAUCAAGUCUGUGAUACCUGAAGCCUCAGACCUGGAACCUGAAGUUUCCUUCAGCCACUACACCUGUGAACCUGUGGAAGACCUGAAGUGCCUGUUUAGAAGACAGCCAAAAGAUAAUUUCACUCUUGUUGCCCAGGCUGGAGUGCAAUGGUGUGAUUUCAGCUUACUGAAACCUCCACCUCCUAGGUUCAAGAGAUUCUCCUGCCUCAGCUUCCCGAGUAGCUGGAAUUACAGCUUCAGAUCCAAAUGGUAUGCUAGCAUUCUCUUCCUAGCAGUCCACUGUCAAGACUUCACUGUUAGAAGAAGAAUCACACCAGAAUUAAGGUCAAAUGGAUUAUCUUAUUCUUAAUUGCUGAAAAUCACACCUCAUUGAAAUUUGCUUCAUAACUGAACCAUGAAUUUUUCAUCAAACAUACUUUUGUGUUUCUCCUCCUGGCAUUCUUUAUGAGGAACUUCUUUUUGGAGCUCACUGACUUCCUGUUCUAAUUUGGUCCAGUUAUUUUCUAGAAUUGCUACAUGACUGUCAUCCUGGGACAUCCUUCUGUUGGAAUCUGGGAGAGCUUACAACUUUUCAUAUCCUCUCUUCUUCUUUGUGUUUUUCACCCUGAAGUGUACAAAGUCAAAUGAAUUUCCUAGAAAAACUA